rnacentral:lncRNA from 1 species
AGCAAACAAACAAGUACAACUAAGAACAGUACACCAAAACAAAAGAAAAGCUUUAAAAGAGCGUACUAAAGGAUAGGGCUCGAUUCUAAGACCGUGAAUAUGCAAGAAACACUUAAAACGGGACUAUGGUUGAAAAGGCACAGCUAUCGAGCGAUUUAAAUUAUAAAAGAAAAGAUAAGAGCUACUUGCUUCAUUAAUUUCAGUUGAGAAAAAUAAUGUAA